UGCAGUCGAACGGUGAUGGCCAGCUUGCUGGUCUGAUCAGUGGCGAACGGGUGAGUAACACGUGAGCAACCUACCCCAGACUCUGGAAUAACCAUGGGAAACGAUGGCUAAUACCGGAUAUGAGACGUGCACGCAUGUGUGGCGUCUGGAAAGAUUUAUCGGUCUGGGAUGGGCUCGCGGCCUAUCAGCUUGUUGGUGGGGUAGUGGCCUACCAAGGCGACGACGGGUAGCCGGCCUGAGAGGGCGACCGGCCACACUGGGACUGAGAUACGGCCCAGACUCCUACGGGAGGCAGCAGUGGGGAAUAUUGCACAAUGGGCGCAAGCCUGAUGCAGCGACGCCGCGUGAGGGAUGACGGCCUUCGGGUUGUAAACCUCUUUCAGCAGGGAAGAAGCGCAAGUGACGGUACCUGCAGAAGAAGCGCCGGCUAACUACGUGCCAGCAGCCGCGGUAAUACGUAGGGCGCAAGCGUUGUCCGGAAUUAUUGGGCGUAAAGAGCUCGUAGGCGGUUUGUCGCGUCUGCUGUGAAAACCUAAGGCUCAACCUUGGGCUUGCAGUGGGUACGGGCAGACUAGAGUGCGGUAGGGGUGACUGGAAUUCCUGGUGUAGCGGUGGAAUGCGCAGAUAUCAGGAGGAACACCGAUGGCGAAGGCAGGUCACUGGGCCGCAACUGACGCUGAGGAGCGAAAGCAUGGGGAGCGAACAGGAUUAGAUACCCUGGUAGUCCAUGCCGUAAACGUUGGGCACUAGGUGUGGGGCUCAUUCCACGAGUUCCGUGCCGCAGCAAACGCAUUAAGUGCCCCGCCUGGGGAGUACGGCCGCAAGGCUAAAACUCAAAGAAAUUGACGGGGGCCCGCACAAGCGGCGGAGCAUGCGGAUUAAUUCGAUGCAACGCGAAGAACCUUACCAAGGCUUGACAUACACCGGAAACUUCCANANAUGGUUGCCCCGCAAGGUCNGUGUACAGGUGGUGCAUGGUUGUCGUCAGCUCNUGUCGUGAGAUGUUGGGUUAAGUCCCGCAAC
rnacentral:rRNA from 1 species